UGAUCUAUUUCUGCUUGCUACCAGCUAUGCUGUUUUUUCUCUAUCACCUCUUGUGUCAAGGAUGAGGGGAAGAUAAACAAAGCUAAUAUAUAAAGAUGUUCUUGAGUACACUACUUUACUUUUUUUUUUGAUCUCUUACUUUUCCU